rnacentral:rRNA from 1 species
GACGAACGCUGGCGGCGUGCUUAACACAUGCAAGUCGAGCGAUGAAAUCCCUUCGGGGAUGGAUUAGCGGCGGACGGGUGAGUAACACGUGGGUAACCUGCCUCAAAGAGGGGGAUAGCCUCCCGAAAGGGAGAUUAAUACCGCAUAACAUUAGUUUUUCGCAUGGAGGACUAAUUAAAGGAGUAAUCCGCUUUGAGAUGGACCCGCGGCGCAUUAGCUAGUUGGUGAGGUAACGGCUCACCAAGGCGACGAUGCGUAGCCGACCUGGGAGGGUGAUCGGCCACAUUGGAACUGAGACACGGUCCAGACUCCUACGGGAGGCAGCAGUGGGGAAUAUUGCACAAUGGGCGAAAGCCUGAUGCAGCAACGCCGCGUGAGUGAUGAAGGCCUUCGGGUUGUAAAGCUCUGUCUUUUGGGACGAUAAUGACGGUACCAAAGGAGGAAGCCACGGCUAACUACGUGCCAGCCGCCGCCGUAA